rnacentral:tRNA from 1 species
GGUGGCUCAGUGGUAGAGCGCUUGUCUUGCAUGCAUGAGGCCCUGGGUACGAUUCCUCAGCACCA